UACAGAGGGUGCGAGCGUUGUCCGGAAUCACUGGGCGUAAAGGGCGCGUAGGUGGUGGCUUAAGCGUGCGGUGAAAGCUCGGGGCUCAACCCCGAGUCGGCCGUGCGAACUGGGCUCACUGGAGCAUAGUAGAGGCAGGUGGAAUUCCGGGUGUAGCGGUGGAAUGCGUAGAGAUCCGGAAGAACACCGGUGGCGAAGGCGGCCUGCUGGGCUAUGGCUGACACUAAGGCGCGACAGCGUGGGGAGCAAACAGG
rnacentral:rRNA from 1 species